rnacentral:rRNA from 1 species
AGCUUACACAUGCAAGUCGAGCGGUAACAGGGGGUGCUUGCACCCCGCUGACGAGCGGCGGACGGGUGAGUAAUGCAUAGGAAUCUGCCCAGUAGUGGGGGAUAGCCCGGGGAAACCCGGAUUAAUACCGCAUACGCCCUUUGGGGGAAAGCAGGGGAUCUUCGGACCUUGCGCUAUUGGAUGAGCCUAUGUCGGAUUAGCUAGUUGGUGGGGUAAAGGCCUACCAAGGCGACGAUCCGUAGCUGGUCUGAGAGGAUGAUCAGCCACAUCGGGACUGAGACACGGCCCGAACUCCUACGGGAGGCAGCAGUGGGGAAUAUUGGACAAUGGGGGCAACCCUGAUCCAGCCAUGCCGCGUGUGUGAAGAAGGCUUUCGGGUUGUAAAGCACUUUCAGUGAGGAGGAAAACCUUCUGGUUAAUACCCAUGAGGCUUGACGUUACUCACAGAAGAAGCACCGGCUAACUCCGUGCCAGCAGCCGCGGUAAUACGGAGGGUGCAAGCGUUAAUCGGAAUUACUGGGCGUAAAGCGCGCGUAGGUGGUUUGAUAAGCGAGAUGUGAAAGCCCCGGGCUUAACCUGGGAACGGCAUUU